rnacentral:lncRNA from 1 species
AAUGCUGGGUCCCGCCCCUUCUUCCGGCUGGGUUCCACUACCUGCAAGGCUGGAACUGACAGCCACUGUGCAAACAAAAAAAGGCAACAAGCAUGCUGGGACCAUUCUGUCUGCUGUUUGGGUCUCACUUGUCCUGACAACUAAAAAUCAUCAGUGGAAAGAGGUUGCAGCAUUUGAAAAUUAUCAAAAAGCAGCAGAGACAAGUUUGGGUGGUUUCCAGGGGAGAGGCACUGAAAGUGAUUGAUUCCUAUCAAAAGCACAAGGACAGGAAGCUGGAGUCAUCCUAACAAGAGUGAUAGUCUUUCCCCAAGUGAGACCAGGCUGUGCUAUCUGGGGAAAAGCAUCGCUGGCCUUGCCGAGAUGCACCGACGACUCAGCUCAGCUAAGGACUUAACCAGUACAGGACUUGCUGCAGCGGAGCCUGAGCUGGAUAUGGAAAGCAAAAGAAGCAAGAUCUCCCUAUGUUGCCAAGGUUGGUCUGGAACUCCUGAGCUCAAGUGAUCCU